UACACGGCUACACAGCUCGGUCUUUCUCAAUCAUCUCUGUCAUCUCAAAUCAUCAACCUUCUUCCAACUUCUUCUCUUGCUUCCAACCCAUCCAACACGGCAACACAGCUCAGCCUUUAGCAACCAUCUCCAUCAUCUCGCAUCAUCAACACAGCCCAGAGAACUGUUCAUGAGGUGGGUUAGGUUUUUAUUUCCUUCUUCACGUCACCUUCAUCUCCCUGGCACCGCCGAUCACCGCAGAAAGAGAUGAAAGAUUGUAUCAGAUGAAGGUGGAAGGCUGCACUCUUUCGUGUUAGGUGAGGCCAGAGUGAGAAGCCAAGAUCAUGGCAGACAGAUUUCGUCAUCCAUGAGCUGGAUCAUGUCAGUCGAGCAUUGUACUGGAGCCAAUUUUGUAGCACUUCUUUUACACCAAUCUUCACGUUUCCAAUAAGAUGACAUACUUGAUUCAUCAUUCAAAUAGUUACCCUAUUAAGAUUUAAAUUAUCUCCUACUGGUUAUAGAGUAUAGAGUAAUUGGUUUUUCCAUUUUCCAUCUCUAUAAAUACUCCCAUUGUUUUGCUGUUUGCUCAUCCUCAUCCUCAAUUGUUACUGCAUCUCAAUUUGUUGAUCUCAAUUGGACCUUUAAUCCCAUUUGGAGCAAGUAUGAACCUGCAAGUGUCAAGCCUUCAGUAUUUGAUAUCUGCUAUUGCUGUAUUUUUUGCUCUAGCGAUGUUGUGAGUGAAAGGUUGAUGCACUUCAGAUUACAAUUCAAUGAUUCGUGUAAUGUAGUUUUCAUUCA